rnacentral:sRNA from 2 species
AAUAGUUUAUUGCAAAUUUUGCAAGCCCUUCAGAAAAACUCAUUCCUUUGCAUUCAGAACCAACAUGAACUCAUGGCUUCCCUGCGGAAACUCAGUCGUAGUUUAGGUCAGCCUCUAAGUAACACCCUGAUGUCCUUUCAGGGAAGAGACGAUCUAAGUGGAACGGAGGACAUGGGGCUAAAAGUAGAGCGAUGCAGCGUGUCAAACCCCACAGAGUACGACGUGUGUAUCAGAAUAGAGACUGGAGAUGAUCGUGUGGAGAUUCACAUGGAUUAUUGGAAUGAUAAGGUAUCUCCACCGUACAUCGAAAGCUUGGGUUCCGCUUUCCGUCACGCUAUUGCCAACAUAAUCGGACAGCCUGACAUGCUCGUUGGAUCCACUUCACUCAUAGCUCCUGAAGCGUACGAGAGAAUUCGGC